rnacentral:tRNA from 1 species
GGUUGGGUGGCUGAAGGUAGGUGGGGGGUUGUAAACCUCCUUAUGGGGGCUCUCCCCCCCAGCCA